ACAGGUGGGAGUUAAAGGGCAGUCCAGAGCCCUUUAAAUCCCUGCCGUGGAAGCCGGUGUGGUCUGGCGCGGUGUACUGGCUCUUGCCAGUACGCUGUACUGGACUGUACCAGCUUACUUUCACCUUUGGACAUGUUUCUGCAUACAAACAGAGCUGACCAUUUAAGCAGACCCCCACUGAAAUAGCAGGAGUAACUCUAUUGGCGUCAAUAGAGAUUGACUUAGAUGUGAUUAUCCACCUUUGUUUCCAUCUGGGUUAAAGGUAUUAAUGAUCAGGUUUGAUGGAUGUACACCCACAGUAAGGGAGGCAGGUGGGUGGGGAUGGUGAGUGCUGAUUUAUAUUAAAUGAACUAAACCAGGAGUUUGUCGACGCUGUUGGACAGUUAAAAAAAACCUCAGGAGUUUGUUGAACACUAUGGGCCAGUCUUUCUAGCAAUCCACAAUCAUUAAAAGUUUAAAAUAAUAUAUUUACAAAUUAAACAAGAGUCUAACACAAAACUGAAAUGUUCCAAGGGUUCACAACCCUCCACCAUACUUUUAUAUAAUAAGCAUUUGCUGUAAGAAACAUCAAUCAUUUAAAAGCUCUGGGUAUUUGUAGUGUGGUCAUGCUACAUCCAUUUUAUUUCAGAACAAACCAAAACUUUAAGCAUGAAAGAAACAUGUUUAAAAUAAAUCACAAACUCCUUAAGACAUUCAUUGACAGCUGCAAGGUUCCCUGCUCAGGAGACUCAUAGAAUAUCAGGAUUGGUAGGGAUCUCAGGAGGUCAUCUAAUCCAACACCCUGCUCAAAGCAGGACCAAUCCCUAGAUAGAUUUUUGCCCCAAGCGGCCCCUUCUCAAGGAUUGAGCUCAUAACCCUGGAUUUAGUGGGCCAAUUCUCAAACCACUGAGCUAUCCCUCCUCCCUGAGAAGAGAGAGACAGUAGUAUUAAGAAUAUCUGUGUGUGUUGAUUUUACUGUUUAAUAUUAUAAUAAAAUGCUACAGUGCCCUUGUUUUUUCAUUGAAAAAGGAAAAUUUAUUUUAAUGAAGUUUUAGUCAAAAGCAUCCCAGUUGUGCAGAGAAUUUAAUUUUCACCUCAGACCACAAAAAGGAAUGUUUGGGGCGGGGUGCCUAAAUUCCUUAAGUAUCUAUUAAUUAAGACUUUUAGUGAUCAAAUCAACUUGCUAAUUACAGACAUUGAAGUUUGUUUGAAACAAAGAGGUAGGAUGAUAUAACCCCCCUCCUUUUGGUGGCGGGAGGGAAGACUGUCCUCUUAUAACAGAAACUAUCUUGAACAAAAUAGCUGCUGCUGGACUGCAAGAUGAGGUAUGUUGCUUGUUUUUAACUCUGAAAAUAUAUCUUAUAAAACGUUACUCUUUGUCCAUGCUGUCCUUACUAAUACUGAUACCUGUCCUUAUUGCAGUGUGAUCUGUUUAGCAUGGAAAUAGCAACCUCAAGCUGUAUUUCACCAGGGCAAGUCCCAAAUACACAUGGGGCAAAAACAGAAUAACCAUGUGCAGCACCCCUUUACUCUAUGAUGGAAGUAUGGUCAAAGCAUGAGAGAUCGUUAGACCAAAGGGUAAACAAGAUCAAAAGAAAGAGACAGCUGAAAAGGAAAAUUCACCAGCAUCAAGAGCUGACAGAUGGAAGAAGCCAGCCUGGGCAACUCACUUGAUGAUGCCGUAGUUAGAGCUACAGGGACAUCUCCAGCGGAACCACCAAAGAACCAGGAAUCUGCUCUGAGACCUUUAACAAUGAAGAGUGCAGACUUAGCAUCCAAAGCUCAGAUAUGUCAAACCCAAGGACAGAACAAAAGUCUCUGCUGUUUCACCGGUUAUCAUGAAAAAGCACAGAAUCCUAGGAUGGGGACAACUUUCAGGUUUCUUUAUUACAAGAUGCAACUCAAGACCAACUGUCUGAAAAGACUAGGGUAUGUAGUCAGGACCCUCUGAGAGCAUGAGUGGGAGACAACAGUAAAAACAGACAAGGAGCUUGCAGAUUUCUUAAACAAAGCACAGUUGCCUCAGUCUUGGUGCCUAGUGAUGCUCUUUUUGCUGGGAGGACUAACAUUAUCCACCUAUAUUACAAACCUAAGCCCAGUGAAGAAAUCCACUAUUACGAUUUUACCAGCCUGUACCCUUUCGUAAACAAAAAUCAAGGAAUACCCAAUCGGACACCCCAAUACAGUUCAUGACAAAUUUGGACCCCUCACAAAUUAUUUUGGAAUUGCGAAAGUUAAAGUGUAUCCCAUGAGGCCUCUUUCCCCAAUGUUAUCUGUCAGAGCGGGUGGCAAACUUAUGUUCCCGCUCUGCCAAACUUCUGCCGAAACCGAGCAGCAGGAGAUGUGCGCCCAUACUGAUGAGGAGAGAGUCAUCCUGGGGACUUGGUGCACAGUGGAAUUGAACAUGGCUGUAGCAAAGGCGUAUGCGAUGGCAAAAAUCUACAAAAUCUGGAAUUUUGAAGAAAAGUUUGACAAACUCUUUUCAGAGUACAUAAAAUUACACCUCCAUCAGAAACAAGAGGCUUCAGAGUAUACCAGCUGAUGCACGGAUGAAGAAAAACAAAAUAAAGUAUGUUAAUGAUUUCUACUGGAAAGAAGGUGUGCAUUUACGCCAACGUGAGAUCACGGUGAACCCUGCUAAGCACCAAAUCGCUAAACUGUUUUUAAAUGCUCUCUGGGGUAAAUUCGGCCAAAGAACAAAGCUACCCAAUACUAGCAUUGAGAGACACUGAUGAACUCUUUCAGUCCCUGUUUUUCCCCCCCAAUUACGAGGUUUCAUCCUGCAGGUUUGUCAAUGAUGAAACAGCGUGCGUGUGUUGGAAGCAAGCGAAAGACCGGUACUCUGUUUCUGGCAAUACCAAUGUCUUCGUAGCCUGUUUCAUCACCGCUUACUUAGAACUAUACAACCUGCUAGACAGGCUGCAAGAGUGGUGCCUGGACCAUGACACUAACUCAGUGAUAUUCAAGAAGAGGGAGGGUGACUGAAACCCCUCUCGGGGGGAUUAUUUAGGGGACCUCAAAUGCGAGAUCCCGCCAGAUCAACACCUCACCGAGUUUGCAUCAGACGGUUCAAAAAUGUACUGGUACAAGCUAUCGGGAGGAAAAGCCUAUAUGAAAGUCAAAGGGAUUAGCCUGAACAUAGCAAACUGGGAAAAGAUUAACUUUGACAGUUUGAAAGAUCCAGUCCUGGACUAUAGAACAGACCUGAGAGAGAACACCCCAAAAACAAUAGAGGUGCAAACAUAAGGACCAGACAUCAGCGGCAAAUAGAGACAAAGACCCUUAAGAAAACACAAAGUUGUUUACAAAAGAGGGGCCUUUAAAGAAGCCCUAUGGCUUUUGAAAAUGGAUACAUAGUGGAAAUACCUCUUUUCUGUAAUUCUCAAAGGGCCUAGAAACUGUGGAAAAAAGUUACUUUAAAAGAAAUGUGUUGUCAGUUAUGCCCGAGAACAUUAUGUGCUGUUACAGUUGCUGGCAACCUCUGUAUAAAAGCUGCUUGGUAAAUAUCCCUUUAUUAAUUUUGGAGGGGGGCUGCCCUGAAGAUUUUGACGAUGACUGGCUAUUUCCUACCCAUACAAAUAAAUGUGAUUAUUGUAGACGUUCUGAUGAACUCUGCUUGUGAAAGCAAUAAAAUUGA